CUGAGGAAUUGCCUCUUGGAUUGGCCUGAGU
rnacentral:piRNA from 1 species